UAGCAUAUCAAUAAGCGGAGGAAAAGAAACCAACAGGGAUUGCCUCAGUAACGGCGAGUGAAGCGGCAAGAGCUCAACUUUGGAAUCGCUGCGGCGAGUUGUAGUCUGGAGGUGGCCGGUCCCGGCGCCAGCGCGCAGCCAAGUCCUUUGGAACAAGGCGCCUGAGAGGGUGACAGCCCCGUGGCAGUUUGUGCUGGUGCCGCCUCGGCCCACCGACGAGUCGAGUUGUUUGGGAAUGCAGCUCUAAGUGGGUGGUAAAUUCCAUCUAAAGCUAAAUACCGGCGAGAGACCGAUAGCGAACAAGUACAGUAAUGGAAAGAUGAAAAGCACUUUGAAAAGAGAGUGAAACAGUACGUGAAAUUGUUGAAAGGGAAGGGCUUGCACCCAGACACGGCCUUCUGGCCGGGCCAGCAUCGGGUGGGAGGGAGCGACAACGAGCAGUCGAUGUAGUACAGCCCUCUGGGCUGUGCAUUAUACGUCUUGCUUUCUGGCUCCUCUCCCGCCCGAGGACCGCAGCAAUAAGGAUGCUGGCGCAAUGGUUGCAAGCCACCCGUCUUGAAACACGGACCAAGGAGUCUA
rnacentral:rRNA from 2 species